rnacentral:rRNA from 1 species
GGGCCCGCACAAGCAGCGGAGCGUGUGGUUUAAUUCGAUGCAACACGAAGAACCUUACCCAGGUUUGACAUACAGGUAGUAGUGAAGCGAAAGCGGAACGAUCUUCGGAAGCCUGUACAGGUGCUGCAUGGCUGUCGUCAGCUCGUGUCGUGAGAUGUUGGGUUAAGUCCCGCAACGAGCGCAACCCUCGUCGCUAGUUACAAGUGUCUAGCGAGACUGCCGAUCUUAAGUCGAAGGAAGGUGGGGAUGAUGUCAAGUCAGCAUGGCCUUUAUAUCUGGGGCUACACACACGCUACAAUGGCUAGUACAAUGGGCAGCUAAAGGGCGACCUGGAGCGAAUCCCACCAAAGCUAGUCGUAGUUCAGAUUGUAGGCUGCAACUCGCCUACAUGAAGCCGGAGUUGCUAGUAAACGCAGGUCAGCUAUACUGCGUUGAAUACGUUCCCGGGCCUU